rnacentral:rRNA from 1 species
UACGAAGGGGGCAAGCGUUGUUCGGAUUUACUGGGCGUAAAGGGCGCGUAGGCGGAUUUUUAAGUCAGGGGUGAAAUCCCAAGGCUCAACCUUGGAACUGCCUUUGAUACUGGGGAUCUUGAGUCCGGGAGAGGUGAGUGGAACUGCGAGUGUAGAGGUGAAAUUCGUAGAUAUUCGCAAGAACACCAGUGGCGAAGGCGGCUCACUGGCCCGGAACUGACGCUGAGGCGCGAAAGCGUGGGGAGCAAACAGG